AUGGUAUAAUGAGCGCCAGGCCCUUUAUGGGUGACGAGGUCAGUGGAGUAUCGAAAUAUUCGGCGGGUGCCACUGCGGUAGGAAAAUCGUUAGAUUAUUUAUAAAAAAUAAAAUUAAAAUUAUAACAACAUAAGUAAUCUUUCCAGCA
rnacentral:ncRNA from 2 species